GACGAACGCUGGCGGCGUGCUUAACACAUGCAAGUCGAACGGAAAGGCCCUGCUUUUGUGGGGUGCUCGAGUGGCGAACGGGUGAGUAACACGUGAGUAACCUGCCCUUGACUUUGGGAUAACUUCAGGAAACUGGGGCUAAUACCGGAUAGGAGCUCCUGCUGCAUGGUGGGGGUUGGAAAGUUUCGGCGGUUGGGGAUGGGCUCGCGGCUUAUCAGCUUGUUGGUGGGGUAGUGGCUUACCAAGGCUUUGACGGGUAGCCGGCCUGAGAGGGUGACCGGCCACAUUGGGACUGAGAUACGGCCCAGACUCCUACGGGAGGCAGCAGUGGGGAAUAUUGCACAAUGGGCGGAAGCCUGAUGCAGCAACGCCGCGUGCGGGAUGACGGCCUUCGGGUUGUAAACCGCUUUCGCCUGUGACGAAGCGUGAGUGACGGUAAUGGGUAAAGAAGCACCGGCUAACUACGUGCCAGCAGCCGCGGUGAUACGUAGGGUGCGAGCGUUGUCCGGAUUUAUUGGGCGUAAAGGGCUCGUAGGUGGUUGAUCGCGUCGGAAGUGUAAUCUUGGGGCUUAACCCUGAGCGUGCUUUCGAUACGGGUUGACUUGAGGAAGGUAGGGGAGAAUGGAAUUCCUGGUGGAGCGGUGGAAUGCGCAGAUAUCAGGAGGAACACCAGUGGCGAAGGCGGUUCUCUGGGCCUUUCCUGACGCUGAGGAGCGAAAGCGUGGGGAGCGAACAGGCUUAGAUACCCUGGUAGUCCACGCUGUAAACGGUGGGUACUAGGUGUGGGGUCCAUUCCACGGGUUCCGUGCCGUAGCUAACGCUUUAAGUACCCCGCCUGGGGAGUACGGCCGCAAGGCUAAAACUCAAAGGAAUUGACGGGGCCCCGCACAAGCGGCGGAGCAUGCGGAUUAAUUCGAUGCAACGCGUAGAACCUUACCUGGGUUUGACAUGGAUCGGGAGUGCUCAGAGAUGGGUGUGCCUCUUUUGGGGUCGGUUCACAGGUGGUGCAUGGCUGUCGUCAGCUCGUGUCGUGAGAUGUUGGGUUAAGUCCCGCAACGAGCGCAACCCUUGUUCACUGUUGCCAGCACGUUAUGGUGGGGACUCAGUGGAGACCGCCGGGGUCAACUCGGAGGAAGGUGGGGAUGACGUCAAGUCAUCAUGCCCCUUAUGUCCAGGGCUUCACGCAUGCUACAAUGGCUGGUACAGAGAGUGGCGAGCCUGUGAGGGUGAGCGAAUCUCGGAAAGCCGGUCUCAGUUCGGAUUGGGGUCUGCAACUCGACCUCAUGAAGUCGGAGUCGCUAAUAAUCGCAGAUCAGCAACGCUGCGGUGAAUACGUUCCCGGG
rnacentral:rRNA from 1 species